rnacentral:rRNA from 1 species
UACGGAGGGAGCUAGCGUUGUUCGGAAUUACUGGGCGUAAAGAGCGUGUAGGCUGUUAGGUAAGUCAGAGGUGAAAUCCCUAAGCUCAACUUAGGAACUGCCUUUGAUACUAUCUUACUAGAGAUCGAGAGAAGUUAGCGGAAUUCCAAGUGUAGAGGUGAAAUUCGUAGAUAUUUGGAAGAACACCAGUGGCGAAAGCGGCUAACUGGCUCGUAUCUGACGCUGAGACGCGAAAGCGUGGGUAGCAAAC